CACGAACGCUGGCGGCAGGCUUAACACAUGCAAGUCGAGCGCCCCGCAAGGGGAGCGGCAGACGGGUGAGUAACGCGUGGGAAUCUACCCAUCUCUACGGAAUAACGCAUGGAAACGUGUGCUAAUACCGUAUACGUCCUUCGGGAGAAAGAUUUAUCGGAGAUGGAUGAGCCCGCGUUGGAUUAGCUAGUUGGUGGGGUAAAGGCCUACCAAGGCGACGAUCCAUAGCUGGUCUGAGAGGAUGAUCAGCCACACUGGGACUGAGACACGGCCCAGACUCCUACGGGAGGCAGCAGUGGGGAAUAUUGGACAAUGGGCGCAAGCCUGAUCCAGCCAUGCCGCGUGAGUGAUGAAGGCCCUAGGGUUGUAAAGCUCUUUCACCGGUGAAGAUAAUGACGGUAACCGGAGAAGAAGCCCCGGCUAACUUCGUGCCAGCCGCCGCGGUAAUAC
rnacentral:rRNA from 1 species